rnacentral:lncRNA from 1 species
AUGGCAGCUCUGUUUCAGCCUCGACGUGCGUUGGUGGAGAUUCCCGCACCACAGCCUAAAAUUGCAGCUCAAAUGAGGAGAUCGUAUCUGGAAAUUCUCAGUGCUCGUUUAGCUCCACCUGCACUCCCAAGAACUAGAAACCCACACGCAAGGCGUGCACACUCAUUGGACCUGUCCAUCAAUGGGAUGUGGACAGAGAGGCUAGAGGACUCGUGUGAGAAGCCAGACGAGCAUCCGACUCCACUUUCCAAACAGCAGCUGGAGCAGCUGGUUAGAUCCCUGAUUUUAGUCGAGCAGAGCCAAGAGCUGAGGAUUCUGGCACCAGAAAUAAAAGUCCUACAGGAGGAUCUGCAGCUGAAGAAGGCAAAUGUUUACAGAUCUAUACCGUACUCGCGCUUCGGCUCCAACAGGGAUGCCCACUGCUACAGGAAGGCCUUUCCUUAUCUGCUGGCAUUCAAAGUUUCGUGCCAGGAGUGGGGCCAAGUACUCCUAAGGAGAAAGGAGUGGGACGCCGUGUUGGAGCACUCCCUGAUGGCGUGGCUAUACACCAGUGAGUUACCGCAGUGGGACACGGCGAGCCACAAUGCACUCAGAGAGCAGUGCUACGGCGUUCUGGCGGCUCACAUCCUCACUGCUCUGCAGCACUGCAGCCUGGAGCCCAGCAGGGGGCACGAGCUACUCAGGAGGUUGAAGAUGGCUCAACUUCAAAGCCAGUCCAUCGUUCCCUGUAUUCAGGAGCUGCAAAGGAUUCUGGGAUGGGCUCAGCAUCUGGAUUGUGAUCUGUGA